UCCUAGAAGAGCCUGUGGGCCAUGCUGU
rnacentral:piRNA from 1 species